GCCGUCCUAGCUCAAUUGGUAGAGCAAUGGUAUCGUAAAUCAUAGGUUAUCGGUUCAAGUCCGAUGGACGGCU
rnacentral:tRNA from 1 species